AUUAUUAAAUGCCUAGUGGAUAUCACGAUGGCGUUUGAAGCGAAGGGUACUGGGUUCGAGUCCCAGAGUGAACA
rnacentral:tRNA from 1 species